rnacentral:lncRNA from 10 species
AAUAACUGAUUAAUUCUAGAUAUUCAACCAUCUGGUUGGUAAUGACACCCUUGAUUAAACAGAGAGAUUGUUUUUCCCCACGAGCCAUUAGAGGAACACACCUGACCAUCCUUGAGUAAAACAAUACCCAAUGGCAUGUGUUGUGCUUGAAGGUAAGAUGCCAUGGAGGACCACAAAGAUAGAGUACAUUAACCGGCAGAAGGUGAGUCCCAUGAAACCCUAUGUAAGAGAAGGGCAAAGAUGAUAUAGGGUGGGGUGAAGGAAAUUCACACUUGUUGAGUGUCAGCCAGUGAGCUAGAGAUUUUAAAUGUUUUAUUUCUCAUUUAAUUAUCUCAAUAGCAUCCUAAGAUAGACAAUACUAUAUCCAUUCACAGAUAAGGAACUGAGCCUUAUGUAAAACACAGAACCCAAGUAACAUUUAUGUAAUUGAAAUUUAAUUUCUGCCGGACUCUAAAACUUGUGCUUUCUCUACUGUACCACAAGGUCCCCUGGGAAGAUUGUUAUGAAAUUCAGUCUUCAGGAAAGACAGAAGAUCCCUCUGCACCCUGGCUGUGAAGGAAGUGGUAACAAGGUAAUAUACAGGUGACUGGAAGAAGUAAUUGCAUGACACAUGGGACUGUCUAGUUUAGCAGACAAGAAGUCCCAUCAGCAGAAAGAAGCAGAGGCAAUGACCUAUAUCAAAUGUGGUAGUGUGUUCUGUCAACUACCGCCUUUCCCAUCCUGCUAGUUUUACCCAUGGAUGCUUUUUCCAUCUCAACUAGAUGGGAAAUGGGCAAAAAGAUAUCAACAGGCUCAGUUCUCUAGACAGUGAACCUAUCACCAUUCCAUUGUGCUAGAGGGUAAAACCUUAGCAUCUGUGAGUACGUAAGGUCACAAACUUUAUAUACUCCUCUGUCAUGUGGCCCAGUUAUUUUGAUUCAGCUAUCAUCCUCAUUUAUUGCUCUAUUCAAAGGGUAGAGUUUUGACAUUGUACUCAUUUUUUAUCCUCUAGUUGUAUUUUAUCAUCCCCUGCUCUCUAACCUAAGCCAUUGUUUCCACUCAUAAUAAAACGUGUAGCAUCCCACUGAUUUGAGUUUGAGCAUAAUUUACUGGUUGGACCUCACUCUGCAUUGGACAUUCUCAGACAUUAAUUCUUAAUCUAAUCAAGCAGAAUUUACAAAGUUUGCACAGUAGUUGACUACUUUAAAGAUGCUGCUUUACAGUUAGUCUAAUUUUUCUAUCCAUCCUCCUGCCUGAUUAAACCUCUAUCUUUUCCCUUCCCUGUUCAUGUGGCUGAGGUCUUAAUGCUCUAUGUAGUCAAGCCUGAACAGAUAAAGCAAUGUCAAAAUGGUUUGGCUUGAAGUAUUGUGUUCAAGGGAGACAUGAAAGAAGACUGCCAGCAGUUAGCUAUAACCUCCCUUCAGUGUGCCCUGACAAGACACAGAAAAUAGAUUGCCAUUGGCAAAGCCACAGGCAGUGUUGUUAAAUUUUUGCCCUUAAGGUUUUAGGUGAAUUGAUCUUAAACACUUUCAAGUGGGAGCUCCUCAGUAGUCUAAUAGUUUAUUUUUUUUCUUCAAAUAUUUAGGUGAAGACCUCAGCCAAAAGACAUUCCAUCAUCUUUCUCAAUGUAACGAGUCCUUAUAGUACAGGUCUCAAUGACAGCAUUUUGGGGGCAAACACUGUCUCUUGGUGGCAUGUAGCAUUCCUUAUGAGUCUCAUGGAUGCUCCCUGAUUUAAUUUUUAUCCGUUCCGUUUCCACUUCCUUCUCCUAUUUUGUUUCUCAUGCUAUUCUCUUCCAGUUACUCACCACUGCUUCUCCUGAUUUCCUGUCUGUAAUCUGUCUUCUUUACACUCCUUGGCAAUUUUGUCUUAAUCCUCUUGCUUAAUCCAAGUAAAAGUGAUGAGGUUGUAAUUAUCCCAGUUUAUCCACCCUAUCACAUCAUCACACAGUUCCUCCUUUUGGGGUGGAUGGGCUGAGGCAAAGUAUGGCAAAGAAUGACUGGAAGCAAAAGCUCCUCCAUGACCUACAUUCUUUCCACCCCAGUCUGUGCUUUUCACUGUUGUCUUUGACUAUGCUUUUCCCCACUUUGAAAUAAAGAUAGUUAUAUACACUUCUCAGUGCUGAAUUUCUUUUUUUUUUUUUUUUUUUUUUUUGCUUACAUUCAAGAUAGUCUUUCUAUCCUGAGCAAACAGAUAGUCUUUUUUCCUUGGCUCUGUAAAAUGAAUUAUUUGAUCUGAGAGUCCAUAAUGAAUUUUUCUUGGUCUUAAUAAGAUCAUUAAACCAGGGGUUGAGAUCAUAACAUACCAUCCUAAUGAUAUCCAUUUAAUCAAAACGUCCAUUUGUUUUCACUAUGGCAAGUUUAGAAAGCAAUUCCAAAGUGCUUUCCAUGGUAUUAAUUAGUCUUUCAGGUUUCUCCUCCUCCUCUUCCUUCUCUUCCUUCUCCUCUUCCUCUUCCACUUCUCCUUCUCCUCCUCUUCCUCCUCUUCCUCCUCCUCCUCCUCCUCCUCCUGCUCCUCCUUCUCCUUCUCCUUCUCUUUCUCCUUCUUUUUAAUCUGGAGGUCAAGAAUGUCAAGUUGUAAUGAUUUAUUUUCAUGUCCUAUUGGGUUGUCUUGCAUAUUUCCUGGAAUAGGGAUUUCCACUUUGAAGACCCCUAGCCUGGCAUAAGAAGCAGUAGCCUAGAAUUGAGGCAGCCAAAUGUCUAGGCAGAUAAAAAGGGGUCCCCAGAGAAUCUCCAACCCACCCCACAGGUGUUUAUAUCAGAUGCUUUUGUGCAGAUGAGGGAGCCUGUCCAGGGCUUGUCUGGGCACGCCUACAGUA